GACCCUGCGGGUGGAUCCUAGGGACCCGAGGUCCCGGCUGGCGGCAUCCUGACGCGCCCCGGUGGGGUCCCGUAGCGCCCGCGGGGACCGCACUGGGGGUCCGCGGUGCUGCGCUGCGGGCUGGGGGUGAGCCGGUGCUGCUGGGCGCUGCCGGCUGCGAUGCUCGAGGGGAGAACCCGUGCCGGCUUUAAAUCCUACGGGUUUUCAAUCCCUAUGGAGAGGAGGGGACCCCGUGGCUUCAGGGUGCUGAGGGACCUGAAGGACGGGGAGCCGAGCACCCCGCUGCCGUGCUGGGGCUUUGUGGGCAGCCCCUCCUUGUGCUUCUGCGUGGUGCUGAGCUGGGUGCCGUGUUCGGGACGGUCCCCGUCCACAGCUGGGAGCUGCAGCCUCUGCUCAUCCUGCAGCAGAAAUACGGGGCGUGAUCCCAACGGAAGCCCCUCUGUGUCCUUCUGGCAGGGCUCACAGCCCUGAUUCCGCCUGGCACCGGUUGCUGACGAGCAGCGGUGGUUACAACAGGUUACAGGUAGCGCGGGUUGUAUGCCAGCACAGUGUGUUUCCAGCCGGUGUGGCUGUCCUGGAAUCGUUGUCAGCCCUCAAAGGUCAUGCAGUCCAUCCCAGCCCAUACAUAGAAUCGGGGAAUACAUAUCCUUCCUGCCUGAUGUUUAUCCUAUUGAUUCCUAAUAACCUCUGAUGACAGAGAUACCCGAGCUUCCCAGACAGAGUUUGACAUUUAACAGCCCUACCAGCAGGUUUUUCAUACGAUCUAAGCAGAAAUAUUGCUCUGUUUUCCUUUUUGGGGUACACACAGGGAAGUUCCUUCCCUCACUGCAGGAGCUCUUUGGUCUGUGGUCGCUCCGCUGCUCCCCUCAGGGCUGUCAUGCUGAGCUGAUGCCCAGCACAGGGCUGAGGCACUGCUGUGCUCAGAGAGCAGAGCUCACUGUGGGUCUUAUCCUUCUUGCUGUUUACUUUUGUUGCUUUGUACUUUUGCUACAGAUGAUGCAUUGGUUUUAAUGUUUUUUGUCCCAUCUGGCCUUCAGCCAUGCUUCUCCAGAACUUUUCCUGCUUUCCGUUCCUCACCUGUUUCAUUGCUCUCACCAAAUCCCAUUACGUCACACUUGUCCUGGCUGAACCACGUCUUCCCUGUUUUUACAGAUGAGCGCAGGGGGUCGGGAUUGUUCCAAAUCCUGCUCUUAUGCUGGCAGUCCCUCAGCUGGGGGUGGCCUUCAAAUGCCAACAGUGCAUUUUGUGUCCCAACAACCAGCUCAUGGAUGGGAGUCCCAGUCUGGGCUGGCUUCCCUGGACCAUUCCUCAGUCAGGUCCUCCCACUCCUUGCUUUAUUGGCAAACCCCAUUCACACCCAUUUGUGCCCGCAGUGGGGCACCCACCCUGCAGUAGCCAGGUCCAUCUCCAGCAUCCCAGCUCUAUUAUGGGAUGUCAUAGCCCUGCCACAGAAAUACAAUGCGUUUGCAGUGAUUUGGUUUUGGUAAAUAAGGGUUUCUUGUGCUCGGGUUCUCAUCACUGUCUAAAUACUUCAUUGAAGUUAAGCUGAUUAAUCUGUAAUAUCCCAGAUCCUCCUAUCCCCAUGCCCUGGCUUCUCGGGGCAGGCUGUGUCCAUCACUCACUGCAGAUCGCUGUCCCCUGCCAGGACCUGGGGACAGCUCUGGUGACACCGCUCUGCACAAGUGGGGAACACAUGGAUGAUAAAGAGACAGAAAGCAUCGCAGAGCCUGCUUGCCUCUGUCACCUGCUCUUUGUUGGGAGGACAAAACAAUUAACUGAAAGACGUUCAAACAGGUCUGACCAGCUCCAGAGCCGCUCUCACACGGCCGUUCAGGGUUUGCUUACCCACUGCAGGCAGCACAGGGGCGAUGGUGCCCUCCUUGUGGUGCAUGAUGUUGCAGGCUGGCAGCCCUUGGGAGCAGCACCCAGCAGCUUUCCUGCCUGCAGAUGAGCAGCAGAAGGGAUGAGAACAAGUUCUGGUGAAACGCUAUCUGGUUGGUGGGUUUCCUCCUUUGAUAUGAGGACUGUCUGGAUGUGGCAGGGCUUCCUGCUGCUCUGUCCUUUCCGUUCCUUGCUCCUGCACCCAGAGUUCUGCAGCUCCUGUUGGACUUUGCGGGUCAUGUCCCUGCUCAGGGCUGGGGCUGUCCCUGUGUGCGACAUCCACAGUGUAACAUGUACCAACCUGUGGAGGCUGAGGGGGUGCAGAUGGGGGCUCUGCAAAGGAGCUGCGGAGGUUGGAAAUCUGUCAUUAAAAUGCACAACAAAUAACAAGGAUGUGCAGGAGUGUUUCUGAGAGCCCCUGCUGGGUCUGUGCAGUGCUCACCAGCAGCUGUGACUGAUGCUCGGAGUGCAGCAGCAUGUACAAGAUUAUCUUGCUUAUGGUUUGACCAAAUUCAUCCAGAGAAUGAGUGGCACCGUGCAAUCUGUUGAUGUGCAUUUAUCAAAAUAAAUCUUUCAUUGCCUGGAGCCAACUGUAUUUCUGCUUAUAUCGCUUGGCAAUUUACUGUUGGGUUUUCACACUGAGCUCUCACUCUGUGUGCCCUUAUGGGUGUUCCUCUGCUGCUGGGAUGGAGUUAGGGACAGAAGCAGAACGGGUUGCUGCACACCUCUGGUUAUACCGAGCAUGUCCUGUGGUUUACUUCUCUUGCAGAACAAAACCAUUUCUGCUUUGCGAUUCCCUUUGAUUCAUCUGGAAGAAAUCAUUGAUUUGUGCUUACAUCCUGAAUGUUCAUUGAUUAUUCACUUAGUGUUUAAGGUAAAGCCCAUCUACAGCUUGCUAGUUUAAGUGAAACUGCCACUCAUCUCCGGAAACCUUUGAAGCCUGCUGAAUUAUGAAGAAAUUGCUUUAGUGAUAAACUGGGCAAAGCUGCUCCGCCUGAUCAGCUCUGGUACGGCUGCAGUGGGCACAGUGCUGGUGUUGGUUCUCCCUGCACACAGAAACCCAGAGAACCUUUUUUGGUGAAAGCCAUGGAGAAAUCCACAAAACACUGCUUCUGCUGAGCGGGUGGGAAGAGCUGAGGCGAAGGGCAAAGCUGAAACCCAUUUUGGGGCAGAAUGGCAGAAAACUUUUGCAUGGCUUUUGGAAUUAUUGAGGUUGGAAAAGAUCACAGAGAUCACCAAGUCCAACCACUGACCCAUCACCACCAUGCCCACUAAGCCGUGUCCUCAGUGCCACAUCUUGCCCAUUUCUUUCAAAUCUUUGCUGGAUGUGAACUCACUUCUGCAGCAGCCAACCUACCGACCAUUGGCCCACUGUUGGCCCCAGUGAACGCUCACUGAGAUUUGCAACAAUUGGAUUCCAAGUGACAGUGAACAGCAAACACACCCAAGCCCUGGGAUGUGCCAUGCAGCUCUCCUUGCCUUUCUUUUCCAGUCUUUGGGUUUAGGAAUCCCUGGAGAGCGAGACCGGGAUGCCUGCGGGGUGGAUGGCAUGGAGCAUCCCAGCUCAUGGGGAAAAACUUCCCUCCUCGCCUGCAGGAUCCAACACCGAUGUUCCCACGCUGGUUCUGAGGUUGGCCUCUUGUUUUUUCCCAAGUGGAAGCCCGUGAGGUCAGCAGGGCUCAGUGCAUGCAGGCAGAAGUCGCUGCCAAAUUAAGGGAUUAUGAAAACUAUUAAAAUAAAGGAAGGGUUUUAGCUGGGGCUGGAAGGUUGUACUGCUAGAAGGAGAGGCUUUUCAGGGAUUGCUGAUCGAGCAUCUGCUUAAUAGCUUCCUGGCUUGGGGAGAGGAUUGUUGUCUUUGACAGAGGGAAAUGUGUUUUCCUGCCUUUCUUAUUGUAAUUGAGGUGUAGAGACUUUUUAUUCAGCGAUGACCUUUGUUUUGUUUGUGGUAGAACAGCUCACGUCAAGCUUCUCUUGCAUUGCAAGACAACCCAAGGAGGACAGGUCUCUGUUUUAAACCAUCUUUCUCCUUUCUCUGCAGCAUUGGCUGCUUUUCCAUGUGCUUGUGUCCCUCUUGAGUCACAUUCUUUUUUUCCUUAUGUUAGUUGAGCUGCCUUGUCAUUUGCUUUUAUCCACAACCUCACGCUUGUGGUUUAGGGUUUGCUGCAGUGAGUUGAUACUAACCUGGGGAAGGUCACUGCGCUGGUACCAGUGCCACUGCCUGCUGCCUCACCUAUUCCUCCAGGAGUUUUUGGACCGACUGGUUCUUUAUGACAUGGAUGUGCCCUAAAGGAUAUGAGGUAGUUUUUCUUCUCUCCCAGUGAUGGUGAGAGCUUUCUGGAAGCAAAAAACAUGCAGCAUUCCCAUUGCGUGUCCCCACAUAAGCAAGAACUUGCCUGUGUUGGGUGCCUGGUGGAUGAGUGGGCUUGGGUAGGGUUAGGCUCUCUCAGGAUUGACAGCUCCCUUAGAAAAGUGCCCAAGGAGUGAAUUAUUCAGUUAAUGCUGGCAAAAGCAGUGUGGUGUCCUCCUCUCCCUCCUGUCAAUGCCCAGACUCUAAUGUUGUGCUUUUGUUUGAUCUUGCCUUUCCUGUUUUAACGAUGCCUUUUUGGUGCCAUGUCUCAUUGGGGUUUCUUUGGAGCUGUCUUUGAUAUCUUUUUCCCUCUUUGUCUUCCAUUUCCCUCAAUUUCCUCUCUUCCUUCUUCCUUUGAUUUUGUAGAAAAUGACCAGGAUGGACUUACUCUAUGUCUCUUUCUCUCUUAAGCUUGUCUAAUUUGACUUACCUACUAUUCACGGACCUUUCCCAGAUGCUUACCUAACACUGGCUUCAUCAGCUCCACAGAGAGCUGGCUGAUCCCACAGAUUCGUUGUACCCCAGCACUUUACCUCUUUGGGUGGUUAAUUGAGAGUGGUUGCGGGGUUGGGCACAACAAACUGUAGGCAGAAAAACAGUAAAAGCAGAGGGAAUGUUUUAAUGCCAUGGCUGAGCUGAAACUUUCUGAUCUGAGGGAAUACUUGGGGCCUUGAGGGACAUUGAGGGAGCUUAUCUCACUCCUAGAUGGAGCCCGAGGUUAAUCAUAGAAUCAUAAAGGGUGGAAAAGACCCCUAAGAUCCCCAAAUCCAAUCCAUCCCACCGUUGCCAUAACCACGUCCCUCAGUGCCACAUCUCCACGGUUCUCAAACAACCUCCAGGGAUGGUGACCCCCCACCUCCCUGGGCAGCUGUGCCGUUGCAUCACUGCUCUUUUGGAGAAGAAAUGUUUCCUACCAACCAGCUUGAACAAAGGAGAAUGAAGCGUUGUGUUUCAAACCUGGUUCAUUUGCUGAUGUCGGGAAUGGAGAGGUAUUUAAAAAAAAAAAACAUAAGAACUGGUAACUCAAAUUCAUGCUGCAUGCAAAUUUCUUGGUUUGACGGCUGAAAUUCUUCAUUGUGCCAUCAUUCUGGUGAAGACCAAUGAAAUGUGGCUUUUCCCUGAGCUGGAAGGCUGUGACGAGGGAGGGGAUAAGCGACCAGAAUGGCAUUUGUGCAUAACUGGGACAAGGACUGUGGGCUGGCUCCAUAUACAUCAUGAAUCGUGAUGCAAAGGGAAGCCGGGAGCAGUUUGGAUCCCGUCGUGUAUCGUUGGAUGACCACACUGGGCUCAGCUUUGUCCCCAUGCACACGUUGGGAAGAGGCAAAAUCGUGUCCGUGACAAUUGUUUUCUGAUUCUUUUCAUUACCUUGCAGAGCAAAAUGAUAAAAAGAGCCUCAGAAAAGAGGGCAUUGCAGCAAGCCCUGGCAGGGAGGUAAUCUCUUUUCUUCGUACCGAGGUAUAAAGAUAAUUCCGAUCGGGAUUGAAGCAGCGGAUGGCAAAUAAUUCUUGAACAAUCCGCUUAUGGUGUUCCAGGACGCGAAUGAAAACCACUAAUGGGAUAAAGAAGGAUCUAGAUAAUUAUCUCAGCUGCAUUAAAUCCUGUCGUUUCAGGAGAGUACUCUUGUGGACACUCAUUUCAUGUGUACAAAAUGCUAAAGCUGACCAGACAUUUUCAGAAGCCAGCUCAUCCCAAAACAAAGACAUCAUUGCUUGGUGUUCGGCUGUCUUUUAUCUACCUGGCUGGUCCUAAUAAAUCUCAUUUCUGCUCUCUGC